AUUGAACGCUGGCGGUAUGCUUAAGACAUGCAAGUCGAACGGUAACAGGUUAAGCUGACGAGUGGCGGACGAGUGAGUAACGCGUGGGAAUCUACCUUGUAGUGGGGGAUAAGCCAGGGAAACUUGGACUAAUACCGCAUACGCCCUAAGGGGGAAAGGCGCAAGUCGCUAUAAGAUGAGCCCGCGUCUGAUUAGGUAGUUGGUGGGGUAAAGGCCUACCAAGCCGACGAUCAGUAGCUGGUCUGAGAGGAUGAUCAGCCACGUCGGGACUGAGACACGGCCCGGACUCCUACGGGAGGCAGCAGUCGGGAAUAUUGGACAAUGGGGGAAACCCUGAUCCAGCAAUACCGCGUGUGCGAAGAAGGCCUGCGGGUUGUAAAGCACUUUCAGUUGGGAAGAUAAUGACGUUACCAACAGAAGAAGCACCGGCUAACUCCGUG
rnacentral:rRNA from 1 species